rnacentral:RNase_P_RNA from 1 species
AGAGUUGGUCGGGCAAUCGCGUUGUGAUUUCACACCGAGGAAAGUCCGGGCUCCGCAGGGUAAGGUGCCGGAUAACGUCCGGGGGGCGCGAGCCUACGGCCAGUGCAACAGAAAAGAUACCGCCAUCUUUGAUGGUAAGGGUGAAAUGGUGCGGUAAGAGCGCACCGCGACUUUGGUAACAAAGGCGGCAUGGUAAACCCCACCUGGAGCAAGAUCAAAUAGGGAAACUAUAGGUGUGUACCCGCACUGUUUUCGGGUAGAUUCCUUGAGGCUGGCAGUGAUGUCAGACCCAGAUGAAUGAUUGCCACAUGAAAACGUACAGAACCCGGCUUAUAGACCAACUCUCUUC